GACGAACGCUGGCGGCGUGCUUAACACAUGCAAGUCGAACGAAGUGGCGAACGGGUGAGUAACGCGUAAUCAACCUGCCCUUCAGUGGGGGACAACAGUUGGAAACGACUGCUAAUACCGCAUACUGAAGGAGGGGAUUGCGUUUGAUUAGCUAGUUGGAGGGGUAACGGCCCACCAAGGCGAUGAUCAGUAGCCGGUCUUGGAUGAUGAACGGCCACAUUGGGACUGAUACACGGCCCCGACUCCUACGGGAGGCAGCAGUGGGGAAUCUUGCGCAAUGGACGAAAGUCUGACGGGACAACGCCGCGUGAGUGAAGAAGGUUUUCGGGUCGUAAAACUCUGUUGUUAGAGAAGCGGUAUCUAACCAAAAAGCCACGGCUAACUACGUGCCAGCCGCCGCGGUAAUAC
rnacentral:rRNA from 1 species